CAGGACUGGAAUUGAUAAGAACAUACAUCAAGAAGUACACGUAAAUAACGUCAGGACCAGAUUCACACAGCGGAAAAGGGCAUGUUAAGAGGUUGAGCGGGCCAGGUUCACAGCCCAAGUGAACGAACAGUUUCAACCUGUCUACAGCCGUGUGGGAGAGUCGUGUUGAGCAUCGGAUAGAAAAAGGGGAAGAGGCGAGUAAGGAGCGAUGAAGGGAGAGACCGAGAGAUACAGAGAGAGAGAGGGAGGUGGGAGAGUGGGAGGUAUAUUUACAGAGGCUGUAUUAAUAUGGUCCGUAAAGGCUAAGCAAUUAGUACACCCAAAGUUUUAAAAGGAUAAAAAAAAAAAAAAACACGAGUAGUAUUUACAUCACGUAAACGGGGGAAAAAAGGAGAAGCACUUUUUGUUGGUCUAAGUUCUGCUCUCGGUCUUUAUUAUGUCGUUCAUCAUCGUCCUAUUGUCUGUGGUGUACCGCGAUCCGUCCCCAUAUUCCAGGGUUACAGAGGCGCUUCUGUGUAUGGAUCCAAUGUCGACCCAAUAUCUCAGUGAAAUGUGAUGUUCUACAAAGAUCUCUAGGGUUACAUGUUUAAGAUGAAUGAUACUGGAACACACACACCCACACACAAUUCAACACUCCAAAUUAUAUAUCUCGUAAAAGUGUGUAAAUGUAUUUAAGAUGUAGUAAAUCUUAAAUAGUGCAGUGAAACAAACAAAGCAAACAAUCGUAUAUAGUUUCGCGUGAUGCCAAAAGUAUAUCCGCAAGGAACCAAACAUGUUCUUAGAUAACCAACUGAAAAUAAUUGCAAAUGGGCAGAGGGAAACUGCGUUAGAGGAGGUUCUUUUGUUAUUUGUUUUAAGGAGUACUGUGUAGGAUUCUCACAUUAGUAUUGUUCCAUUUGCCGUUUCCAUGCGAUAUUUACCGUCUGCAUAUGUAUAUAUUUGUUUUAAUAUGCUGAGUUUAACUUGAAAUCCACUCUUCCUACAGGCAUGAGCAUCAUUUGGCCAGGUCGUCCCUGGAAAUGUUUACUGUGUUUUAUAUGACGUAAAACCAGAAGGUCUCAUAAGUCAAUACAAUCCUAAUAUGACAACAUGUUUAGAGGCAUGUUCAGGCCACAACACGAAAUCCUAAACCAAAGUGACCCUAUAAGGUGGGCGUUCAUUCGUCGAUUAUCAAUACUAUCAUCGAUGUCCUAGACAAUCCUAAGGGGAGCUCAAGACGGACAAUGCCAUCAUGAAAUCAAUAGGUGCUCUGUGUGGUGGUGUCGCACCCAACAGCCUCGGCCCAGCCACACUCUUAUCAAUUUGUCAUUGGCAGAAGGUUAUAUGCUGAUGACACUCAUGUUAGAAUUGAUCCCUUUUUUUUUUUUCCAAAGGUGUCGUUGAAGAUACAAAACAAUGGGCGUGUUGUGUGUGAGUAGCUAAAUGCGUGUUGUGUGUGAGUAGCUAAAUACUCGCAUACCCGUCGACUCAACAGUGGCACGGCGUGUGCCAUUGCGUCUUAAAUAAGGAACACAAAACAAUCACAAUCGUGGCUCUCUCCCUCUCUCUGUCUCUUUCGUCCUCUCAUUCCUCAUGUAGUUCCUUAGGGGAUGAUUAAAACGAUCGGCCUGUUUGCCUCUCUUUUAUCUCUCUUACCCUUGCUCAAAACAGUGGGCAUAAUAUUAUCAAAAGUCGGAUUCAAAAUUCUUACCAUUCCCCUCCCGACGUUGGAGAAACCUGCUUAUGCCUCUCCCCCCCUAUUUUCUAUAGUGGCCAGUCUACACAAUGUUUAUUUGAAACCUUUAAAGACACUAUUAAUAACAGUGUCCUGUUGGCUAAGGUGUUGUCCGUUGUUAACAUCCAGUUACACGCCUACAUUUUCCCUCCUCCAGCAAGAUGAUCGGUCGUCGAGAUAAAUACGAAGCAAAGUAAAAUAAAACGUCCACGUCACCCGGACCUGAGCUCAUCUUCUAUCAGACUUUGAAUUACUAAACUAAAGCCAGAUUUGUGGGACUUGUGAAGAUGUUAAGGUUUUAGCCAGCCUAGAGGCCAGCCAGCGAGUGGCCAGGAUGACGGUCUGUUUAGUGCAGAGCCCAUCACCGCAUCUGCUGGAGGCUACCGCUGUUUAGCUCAUCUUGAUGAUGGAGACUCACAAUUAAUCUGCCUGAUCUCUCGCAGUCUCCAUGGCCUGGAGGCAGAGAGAAGAGAGAGAGAGAGAGAGAGCGAGAGAGAGAGCGAGAGCGAGAGCGAGAGCGAGAGCGAGAGAGAGAGAGAGAGGGGAAGAGGGAGCAAGAUAAUAAAAUCGAGAGAGUAAGAUAUGGAGGGAGAGAGAGAGAUGAAAAGGGAGGAAAGGAGAGAAUGUGGGAGCAAAGGAAUAAAUGAGAGAGAG
ensembl:lncRNA